UUUUCGGACGGGUCAGUAACGCGUGAGAACCUGCCUCGAGGAGGGGGAUAACAGCGGGAAACUGCUGCUAAUACCCCAUAUGCCGAAAGGUGAAAAGAAAUUUGCCUUGAGAGGGGCUCGCGUCCGAUUAGCUAGUUGGUGAGGUAAGAGCUUACCAAGGCGACGAUCGGUAGCUGGUCUGAGAGGAUGAGCAGCCACACUGGGACUGAGACACGGCCCAGACUCCUACGGGAGGCAGCAGUGGGGAAUUUUCCGCAAUGGGCGAAAGCCUGACGGAGCAACGCCGCGUGGGGGAAGAAGGCCUUUGGGUUGUAAACUCCUUUUCUCAGGGAAGAAGAACUGACGGUACCUGAGGAAUCAGCCUCGGCUAACUCCGUGCCAGCAGCCGCGGUAAUACGGAGGAGGCAAGCGUUAUCCGGAAUUAUUGGGCGUAAAGCGUUCGUAGGCGGCGUUUCAAGUCUGCUGUCAAAGGCCGAGGCUCAACUUCGGAAAGGCAGUGGAAACUGAAAAGCUAGAGGUCGGUAGGGGCAGAGGGAAUUCCCAGUGUAGCGGUGAAAUGCGUAGAUAUUGGGAAGAACACCGGUGGCGAAAGCGCUCUGCUGGGCCGAACCUGACGCUGAGGAACAAAAAGCUUGGGUUGCCC
rnacentral:rRNA from 2 species